rnacentral:tRNA from 1 species
GCUCCGGUCGUCUAGUCCGGUUAAGGAUACGGGCCUCUCGAGCCUGUGAUCCCGGGUUCAAAUCCCGGCCGGAGCACCA